rnacentral:rRNA from 1 species
UACGUAGGCGGGCUUGUAAGUGUCCUGUGAAAUCCCCCGGCUCAACCGGGGAACUGCGGGGCAAACUGCAAGUCUUGAGGAAGCUAGAGGCCGGUAGAACGAUUGGUGGAGCGGUGGAAUGCGUAGAUAUCAAUCGGAAUGCCGAAAGUGAAGACAGCCGGCUGGGGCUUUUCUGACGCUGAAGCACGAAAGCGUGGGAGGCAAACG